CCACCGAGUGCUUGCACUCACCGAUAAAGAGUUGAGUGGCGAACGGGUGAGUAACACGUGGGCAACCUGCCCAAAAGAGGGGGAUAACACUUGGAAACAGGUGCUAAUACCGCAUAACCAUAGUUACCGCAUGGUAACUAUGUAAAAGGUGGCUCUGCUACCGCUUUUGGAUGGGCCCGCGGCGCAUUAGCUAGUUGGUGGGGUAAAGGCUUACCAAGGCAAUGAUGCGUAGCCGAACUGAGAGGUUGAUCGGCCACAUUGGGACUGAGACACGGCCCAAACUCCUACGGGAGGCAGCAGUAGGGAAUCUUCCACAAUGGGCGAAAGCCUGAUGGAGCAACGCCGCGUGGGUGAAGAAGGUCUUCGGAUCGUAAAACCCUGUUGUUAGAGAAGAAAGUGCGUGAGAGUAACUGUUCACGUUUCGACGGUAUCUAACCAGAAAGCCACGGCUAACUACGUGCCAGCAGCCGCGGUAAUACGUAGGUGGCAAGCGUUAUCCGGAUUUAUUGGGCGUAAAGGGAACGCAGGCGGUCUUUUAAAUCUGAUGUGAAAGCCUUCGGCUUAACCGGAGUAGUGCAUUGGAAACUGGGAGACUUGAGUGCAGAAGAGGAGAGUGGAACUCCCUGUGUAGCGGUGAAAUGCGUAAAUAUAUGGAAGAACACCAGUGGCGAAAGCGGCUCUCUGGUCUGUAACUGACGUGAGGUUAAAAAGCGUGGGUAGCAAAACAGGAAUAGAUACCCUGGUAGUCCACGCCGUAAACGAUGAAAUGCUAAGUGUUGGAGGGUUUCCGCCCUUCAGUGCUGCAGCUAACGCAAUAAGCAUUCCGCCUGGGGAGUACGACCGCAAGGUUGAAACUCAAAGGAAUUGACGGGGGCCCGCACAAGCGGUGGAGCAUGUGGUUUAAUUUGAAGCAACGCGAAGAACCUUACCAGGUCUUGACAUCUUUUGACAAUCCUAGAGAUAGGACUUUCCCUUCGGGGACAAAAUGACAGGUGGUGCAUGGUUGUCGUCAGCUCGUGUCGUGAGAUGUUGGGUUAAGUCCCGCAACGAGCGCAACCCUUAUUGUUAGUUGCCAGCAUUAAGUUGGGCACUCUAGCAAGACUGCCGGUGACAAACCGGAGGAAGGUGGGGAUGACGUCAAAUCAUCAUGCCCCUUAUGACCUGGGCUACACACGUGCUACAAUGGACGGUACAACGAGUCGCAAGACCGCGAGGUUUAGCAAAUCUCUUAAAGCCGUUCUCAGUUCGGAUUGUAGGCUGCAACUCGCCUACAUGAAGUCGG
rnacentral:rRNA from 1 species